GACCUCUACUCAGGAAUGAGGUGGUCAAGAGCCAACUGGACGAGGGGUGGGGGCGCAGGCAAGCAGGGACCCAGCGGAGGAGGUAAGGACCCCGGGCGGGGCAGGGACGUGUGAGGCAGCUGCUUACCUGCCGGCCCCCUCCAGGCGCGCCCUGGACUGCCCUGUGGAGGUGGCUCCGGGGCUCCAGAGGGACACACAGGCAGCAGCAAGAGCCACCUCGGGCUCUGACCCCGAGCAGAGGAGCGGAGAAGGGCGCUUACUGCUGGUUGGGGGUGCAGGAGUCGAGGUGGAGCUGCAGGGGCUCCAGGGAGAGCGGGGUGAGCACAGCAGUGCUUCCCAGGUAGCUUUGGUCCUCUCUGUCCUCUCACUGUAGAACAGCCUGGCCCCAGUAGCAUUGCAGUUUGUGAUUUUGCCUUCUUGGAGCUGGGCUCCUGCAUCACUGUGACCAUUUCCAUGGAUGUCUUUGGUGGACGAAGCUCUCCCUUCCAUCAGGUGCAUGACAGGGCCGGUACUGCUGGGUCCAAGGGACACAGAGUUGUCAUACCUGAUAUGGUAGCCACAGGCCAUACGUGCGUUGACACAUUGAUAGUCAGAAUGGAGAUAUGCUACAAGUGCAAA